CCAACGUGAACAUCCUGUGAGGUUGCUCUCAUGUGGCUCUGUUCAUAUGGCUUUAGGGAGCAUAGUACUGUUUGGUGCAGUGACUGUAUAAUCCCAUUCCAUGACGUUGGACAGCAAGCUUUUCCCCUGACAAUUUUGGUUGGUGAGGAUAGCGGCCUGUAUAUUCCUACAUCUUCCCAGAGUCCUUGUACAGUUACUGGGGAGACAAACCAUGCAGGCCACACUU